CCUACGGGUGGCAGCAGUGAGGAAUAUUGGUCAAUGGACGCAAGUCUGAACCAGCCAUGCCGCGUGCAGGAAGACGGCUCUAUGAGUUGUAAACUGCUUUUGUACGCGGGUAAACGCAUAUACGCGUAUCUGUCUGAAAGUAUCUUACGAAUAAGGAUCGGCUAACUCCUUGCCAGCAGCCGCGGUAAUACGGAGGAUUCAAGCGUUAUCCGGAUUUAUGGGGUUUAAAGGGUGCGUAGGCUGUCGGAUAAGUUAGAGGUGAAAUCCCGAGGCUCAACGUCGGAAGUGCCUCUGAUACUGUUCGGCUAGAGAGUGGUUGCGGUAGGCGGAAGGUAUGGUGUAGCGGUGAAAUGCUUAGAGAUCAUACAGAACACCGAUUGCGAAGGCAGCUUACCAAGCUACGUCUGACGUUGAGGCACGAAAGCGUGGGGAGCAAACAGGAUUAGAUACCCGAGUAGGC
rnacentral:rRNA from 1 species